rnacentral:rRNA from 1 species
AUUGAACGCUGGCGGUAGGCCUAACACAUGCAAGUCGAACGGCAGCACAGUAAGAGCUUGCUCUUACGGGUGGCGAGUGGCGGACGGGUGAGGAAUACAUCGGAAUCUACUUUUUCGUGGGGGAGAACGUAGGGAAACUUACGCUAAUACCGCAUACGACCUACGGGUGAAAGCAUGGGAUCUUCGGACCUUGCGCGAUUGAAUGAGCCGAUGUCGGAUUAGCUAGUUGGCGGGGUAAAGGCCCACCAAGGCGACGAUCCGUAGCUGGUCUGAGAGGAUGAUCAGCCACACUGGAACUGAGACACGGUCCAGACUCCUACGGGAGGCAGCAGUGGGGAAUAUUGGACAAUGGGCGCAAGCCUGAUCCAGCCAUACCGCGUGGGUGAAGAAGGCCUUCGGGUUGUAAAGCCCUUUUGUUGGGAAAGAAAAGCAGCAGGUUAAUACCCCGCUGUUCUGACGGUACCCAAAGAAUAAGCACCGGCUAACUUCGUG